rnacentral:rRNA from 1 species
UGGGGAAUUUUGGACAAUGGGGGAAACCCUGAUCCAGCCAUCCUGCGUGUGCGAUGAAGGCCUUCGGGUUGUAAAGCACUUUUGGCAGGAAAGAAACGUCAUGGGUUAAUACCCCGUGAAACUGACGGUACCUGCAGAAUAAGCACCGGCUAACUACGUGCCAGCAGCCGCGGUAAUACGUAGGGUGCAAGCGUUAAUCGGAAUUACUGGGCGUAAAGCGUGCGCAGGCGGUGCGGAAAGAAAGAUGUGAAAUCCCAGAGCUCAACUUUGGAACUGCAUUUUUAACUACCGGGCUAGAGUGUGUCAGAGGGAGGUGGAAUUCCGCGUGUAGCAGUGAAAUGCGUAGAUAUGCGGAGGAACACCGAUGGCGAAGGCAGCCUCCUGGGAUAACACUGACGCUCAUGCACGAAAGCGUGGGGAGCAAACAGG